UUCUUUCAGAUUCCUUUCAUACGACCACAAACCUCUCCUCCAGCCCUAAGCCGCCAUCAACGAAGAAUAGAAAGAGACUAAGCUGCCAUGAGAGGAGUACAGAAGAGACUAAGGGCGAUGAGAGAAGUACAGAGAGACAAAGGGCGAUAGGAGAAGUACAGAGAGACCAAUAUAUUGGGAUUGCUUCUACCAGCGAUCUGGAUCGCGAAUGUAUUGCGUUCUGAGUCGUGCGAUCCGGAUCGCGGUUCGGAAGCAAAGUGAGCGAACCAGGUUUUGAUUAGGAGCUAAAAUUUGUCAAACUUAUGGCUGAAGUAGUACUGAACUACUGAUGGUGCUGUUUUAGUGAUGGGCUUUGUAUUGGUAUUAGUUAAUUGAGUCACUAGUUCAUGGUUCAUGGGAGGCCAUCUUCAAUGCUAUUGAAGAAGUCAGGUAGCAGAUUGGUGAUUUCUUAUUUUCUUUGCAUUACAAUGGAAAGGCAAAGUAGAUCAAGAUGUGGCUUCUUCACAGGUCGAGAAAACUCGUGGCAUUACAAGGGUUGUAGGAACUCACGCUGUUGUCAAUGCAGCGA